AUGAACGCUGGCGGCGUGCCUAAUACAUGCAAGUCGAGCGAACAGACGAGGAGCUUGCUCCUCUGACGUUAGCGGCGGACGGGUGAGUAACACGUGGAUAACCUACCUAUAAGACUGGGAUAACUUCGGGAAACCGGAGCUAAUACCGGAUAAUAUAUUGAACCGCAUGGUUCAAUAGUGAAAGACGGUUUUGCUGUCACUUAUAGAUGGAUCCGCGCCGCAUUAGCUAGUUGGUAAGGUAACGGCUUACCAAGGCAACGAUGCGUAGCCGACCUGAGAGGGUGAUCGGCCACACUGGAACUGAGACACGGUCCAGACUCCUACGGGAGGCAGCAGUAGGGAAUCUUCCGCAAUGGGCGAAAGCCUGACGGAGCAACGCCGCGUGAGUGAUGAAGGUCUUCGGAUCGUAAAACUCUGUUAUUAGGUAAGAACAAAUGUGUAAGUAACUAUGCACGUCUUGACGGUACCUAAUCAGAAAGCCACGGCUAACUACGUG
rnacentral:rRNA from 1 species